rnacentral:rRNA from 1 species
CCUACGGGAGGCAGCAGUGGGGAAUAUUGCACAAUGGGCGAAAGCCUGAUCCAGCAACGCCGCGUGAGCGAUGAAGGCCUUCGGGUUGUAAAGCUCUGUCCUUAAGGAAGAUAAUGACGGUACUUGAGGCGGAAGCCCCGGCUAACUACGUGCCAGCAGCCGCGGUAAUACGUGGGGGGCUGGGGUUAUCCGGAUUUACGGGGCGUAAAGGGUGCGUCGGUGGUUUCUUAAGUCAGAGGUGAAAGGCUACGGCUCAACCGUAGUAGGCAUUUGAAACUGGGAAACUUGAGUGCAGGAGAGGUGGGUGGAAUUCCUAGUGUAGCGGUGAAAUGCGUAGAUAUUAGGAGGAACACCAGUUGCGAAGGCGGCUCUCUGGACUGUAACUGACGUUGAGGCUCGAAAGCGUGGGGAGCAAACAGGAUUAGAUACCCGUGUAGUC